rnacentral:misc_RNA from 1 species
GUGUAGUAGAGUGUUGAGAGAUAGUUGUAUCUUUCGUUGUGGCCGAAUUCAUAAUACUCUAUUUGUGGCAGAUCGUAUGGGUUCCUUUACCUGCAUUACCACCGUCUAUACGAUGUAUUCAUGGUGCGUCUAUUGGAUGUAAUUGAUCCUUUUAUUAAGUGUUUUAAUGAUGGAGAAAUUGCACAAGGAACCGGAUGUUAGCAGGCAAGAUUAUUAUGCGUUUGUUAACGAGCUAAAACUCUUCCAUCAAAACAGAGGAACACCUUUCCGUCACCUACCUAAGAUCAAUGGCCGGGAAAUUGACUUACAGAAAUUUUAUAAUCAAGUAACAGCAUUAGGAGGCCUGCAAAAAGUUAUAGAACAUCAAAAAUGGGAUAGUGUAGCUGAGAUCUUGAAGUUACCCAAAUCCUGUGUAAAUUCUGCUCUAAGUCUGCGGCAAAUAUAUAUAAGAUAUCUUGGCCAUUAUGAAAAAAUCCAUUUCAUGGGAGAAGAGCCUGACCAUGAUAAAAAUCAAUCAUCAGAAUCUCAUAAUCGAAAAUUACAGCUUACUCUUUUUCAUCAAGUACCUAUGGUUUACAAUGCCUUGCAACAUGAAGUCUCAGAUACUGCUCGCUCUACAUCAGGAUUAAAUCAAGUUUUUGUGUCCCCCACCGAUUACGAUAAGCUAUGUAUGUCUCUCCUUUGUGGUCUUCCAAAUGAACAAGAAUUAGCUCUAAAUGUCUGUACUAUAUUAUCAAAUGAAGGGAAUUACAUGCUACAUUUAGAGCAAGCUCCAAAAUUAGUCGAUCUUCUUAUUGCACAGGCUGGUGUAUGGCCUCAAGAUGACAAUUCUUUGAAAAUGCUGUAUUUGGAGAACUGGAAGGACCUUAAAGGUAGAAACAUGCAUCGGUUUUGGAGGAGUACUCUUGAUUUACAAAAUACUCAUCUAGCUCAGCUAUUGGGAUUAGAUUUAGGUGAAUAUGAUCCUGAUGAAAAACUACUCAAUUUGGAAUCUGAUCUGGGUGCAUUGAAUGUGGAAGGGCAAAGAGUAUUAAGGGUUGCUCUGAUCUUACAUAAUUUAUCAUUUGAGAAGAAUAAUGUUCCUGUUUUAGUUUGUAAUUCCAGCUUCAUAAGGUUUCUUUUACUUUCCAUACAUUCAUCUUGGGCAAAUUUGAAGCAAACUGCUUAUGAUACCUUAGCAAAUUUAGCAUCAGAAAUAAAAUUAUCCAUUGAGAAGGAUUUAUGUUCUCGUGUUAUGUUUCAAACUGUUAUGGAUGGGAUACAGUCACCAGACCGAUACAUGAAUAUUAGGUCAAUGGAUAUCUUAUCACAGUUAUGCAGUUAUGAGCCAAAUGAAGAUAUAAUCCCUUCCCGACUUGAUGUUGAGGCAUAUCAACAGAUGGUGUCAUUUUUGACGGUGCACGAUGUUAUGCUACUCUUUUACACCUUAGAAGCUCUGUAUGCUCUAUCAGAUUUGGGAAGAUAUGCUUGUGACAAAAUAGUUUGUGUACAUAGAUCCAUAGGAGCUUUAGUUAGCUUACUGACUUUGGAACCAAACCAGUAUGGUCCAUCAGGCCAAGUUAAGAUGAAAAUUGUUGAGACUCUGGUACCAGCAGAAUCUGACAGUGAACAAGAAGAAAAAUCAGCUUCUCCUGCUGCAGCUGAACAAUCUGCUUCCUCAUCACCUUCACCCACAUCCUCUUCAAAGGAUGAUGUUGAUUCUGAAACAUUUGCCAGUAACUGGUUGAAAUCAACAUAUGAAGCUUCAGCAGGAAGUAGUAUGUCACGGAAUGAAAUAUAUGCAGAAUAUGUUAGCUAUUGCAGUAAAGCUGGCCGGAAAGGUGUUGUCAAUGCUAAUGUGUUUGCAAAUUGUGUUAAGAAUAGUUUUCCACAGUGUGGAUUAAAGAAAAUUGAGUCAGGGAAUGGUAUAAUAACUUUUCAUCAUGAUGGUUUGAAGAGAAAAAAAGUUACUACAACACAAACUGGUCCUCCUCCUUCCAAGUCAACGAAUAAUGCUAAUUCAUUUCGGAAAGUUCCUGCAACACCAACAACUUCUGCUUCCUGCAAACCUGGUCAAAAACUUACUCAUAGUCCUAUACUCAAAGCUCAACUCUCAGCGCCUCCCAGAAGUGGUGUUACAUCUCCUCCAUUGAAACGACCAUCUCAGACAGCAUCUAGUGGCCGUAAAUGUGCAUCACCUACUCCUGUGCCUAACUCUGUGUCACAAAGUACCACAUCAAGUGCACAAGCAACUCCAACCACAACUGGUUCAAGUACUUUAAUCAAAAGCCUUUUGGCAAACAAAGUGCAACAAAGAAAUCUUCAGCGACAGGUUGUUCCACAAAAUGUUUCCAAAAUGGUUAUAUACUCUCCUGAAAAGGUGGCACCUCUUAGUCAAGGAAUUGUUGGUUCUCCUACAACAGUCAUGCGCUGUGUGAGGCCUGGAGCUUUAUCUCAAGUUAAUUUAAGUUCGCAAAUUAGGACACCUAUACAAGCACGAAUAGUUUCAAAUAAAGGUCGUGUAAUUACUGCUACUCCUUCUAGAGUCAUAAAAUCCAAUCCUCUUGUAUCUUCCAAGAUGCAACCAAAAUUAGUGAAACAGACUGUGAUUGCAACUGCUGCGUCAACUGCACGUUUAAAUGGUGUUCAAAGAGAUGUACAAAUGGAGGUAUGCACUCAGGAUGAUGAUUCAAAAAGUACUGGUGAUGUUACAUAUACUCAAAUUACUCAGAUGAACUGCUUACAGAACCAUGUAUCUAAUGAUUCUGUUGCAGAUAGUAAAGAUUCAGUUUCUAAUGAUGGAGACUGCUUGCAGUCUGCAAAAGAUUCAGAUGUAAAUAGUGAUUUUGACAAAAACUUCUUAUUUUCACAAAUUCAAGAAAAUGCUGUAACAUACAGGUUGGCUGGACCAAAUGAGCUGCCACCUACGUCUGGUAAUCUCUUGAUUGUAAGAUCAAAGCCAUCGACAGAUGGACUUUCUCCUCCAAAGGAACAAAAUGGGUCUAGUGUUACAUUUGUAAAUAGCAACAGUGCCGUCACUGGUCUGUCAUUAGUAGCACAACCUCUGAUUCAGCCAAAGAUUCUUUCUUCAUCUGCAAGUAUUUUAAAGUCUGUUUUAGGUGAAUUAGAUACUCAGACUGAUGAUCUUGCUAAACAGCAACAGUUACAUAAAGAUAAAAUAUGCAAAAGAGCACCACUUUUAAAUGGUUUGUUAGAUAAAGGGAAAGUUUCAUUACCUGAACUACAAUCAACUCAGUUAGUGCAGAAUGGAAGUAAAACUACUAGUGUUGGGUUUGAACCUAAUAGUGAUGAAAGUAAAUCUUCCACGUCUUUUGUGCAAUCAACGUUAAACUCGGGUGUCAUACCUGUAUCAUCUUUGAACUCUGUUGUGCCGACAUCAUCAUUAAAUUCUAUUGUCAUACCUGCAUCAUCACUGAACUCUGUCAUCAUACCAGCUUCAUCUUUAACAUCUGCCAUUGUACCAUCAUCAUCAACAUCAUCUUUAAACUCUACUGUAACAUAUGUGUCCACUUUAAACUCAUCAGUAACGCCGGUAUCUGUUUUGAACUCUGCUAUUUUACCUGCAACUGCAUUUCAUUCAAAUGGGGACAAUUUAAUGCAGAUUUGUACAGGCCAAACAACACUAUCUGGAACCAUAGAAGUACAACCAGAUCAAAAAGGUGUUGUGAGACUGCAUAUAGAAAGUCCUGAAAAUUCUAACCAAGGGUCUGAUUUAUCUUCAAUAUCAGAUAUAACUCGAACUUUAGAAUGUGCAUCAAAGGCAAUAUCAAGAACAAAUGCUGAAUGCAACACACAAGUGCCUUUUUGUGGCGCUUGUGAAACUACAGCAACUGUUACAGUAAUUACUACAAAUACAUCAACUUUAGCAAGGACAGGACAGCAAAUAAUUGUUGUAACACCUGCAUUAAAUCAACCACAAUUACAUAUACAGUCACCUAACAUUAAGUUUCGCAUUUUGCAUAGUAUACCAAAAGUAGAAGAAUCCGUUGAUUUAAUAGGCUUCCCACGAGUACAUUUAAAUCAACUAAACCAGUUACGGCAACCUUCUCCUGAAACUCCCUCCAUUACUACUGCCAGUUUGAAAAGGCCGUCCAGUGAAUCCAUGUGCAUUGCUAAUGAUGUGAAAAAACCUCGUAUUGACACAAAAACUCCUUUGUUAGAAGCUACUCUUCGUUUACCCACCCCAGUGCCAUGUUCUGUUUCAGCUUCAGAUGUCAAUGCCAAACCAUUCCAUGAACCUCAGUCCUUUUUAAUAAAAUCAUCUCAAAUUGAAAAUCUUGGAUCUACACCAAAAUUAACCACUGCUAAAGCAGUGGCUGUGCCUGUCCAAAAUGUAGACUUUCCUAAUGAAAGAGAAGUUAAAACAUUUUCAGGUUUAUCGUCUGCUAGUGAUAAUCCUUCCCUUACAGCACCCUCUCAAGUACCACCAAGGUCUAUUUCUUCUGCAAAGCUAGAGUAUUUUUGUGAAUGGAAAGAUUGUGGCCUAGGCAGGAGAUGCAAGACGUGCUUGUCAGGAUUCAAGCUCCGAACCUCUUGAUUGCUAGUGGCAUGAAUUUCCAAUUACAUUAUAAAGGAGGAAGAAAGUAUCUUACAAAAUAUAUUGUGCAGUUUUAAGUUUAUUUGCACAAUAAUAUGCAUAAAAAUUCUCUAAUCCUGGUUCAGUAUUUCUUCAUGCAAGUAAAGUUCAUGCACCACUAUGCAAUGAUGACAUGAUCUGUCAAUGGGAAGGCUGUGAUUCUAUGAAAAGAAGGCGGUUUUCAUUACUUACUCAUUUACAG